GCCACUAAAAGUGCGUAAUACAGUAUGACUGCCCACUGAUGGUUUAUUAAAGGGCCGCGGUAUUUUGACCGUGCAAAGGUAGCAUAAUCAUUAGUCUUUUAAUUGAAGGCUGGUAUGAAUGGUUUGACGAGAUAUAAGCUGUCUCUGUAUAAUAAUAUAUAAUUUAACUUUUGAGUCAAAAGGCUUAAAUAAAUAUAAAAGACGAGAAGACCCUAUAGAGCUUUAUAUAUAGUUGUACUUAUAUUAUUUGGAGGUAUUAUAAGUAAGUAUUAAUUAUAUGUUUUGUUGGGGUGACAUGAAGAUAUAAUAAACUCUUUAUUAUUUAAACAUUGAUUUAUGAUUAAUUGAUCCAUUAUUAAUGAUUAUAAGAUAAAGUUACCUUAGGGAUAACAGCGUAAUUUUUUUUGAGAGUUCUUAUCGACAAGAAAGAUUGCGACCUCGAUGUUGGAUUAAGGAAUAUGACUAGGUGUAGAAGUUUAGUUAAUAAGUCUGUUCGACUUUUAAAUCCUUACGUGAUCUGAUUUCCAGACCGG
rnacentral:rRNA from 1 species